GACGAACGCUGGCGGCGUGCUUAACACAUGCAAGUCGAGCGGAAAGGCCCUUCGGGUACUCGAGCGGCGAACGGGUGAGUAACACGUGAGUAACCUGCCCUUGGCUCUGGGAUAAGCCCGGGAAACUGGGUCUAAUACCGGAUAUGACCAUCAGAUGCAUGUCUUGGUGGUGGAAAGAUUUUUUCGGCUGGGGAUGGGCUCGCGGUCUAUCAGCUUGUUGGUGGGGUGAGGCCUACCAAGGCGACGACGGGUAGCCGGCCUGAGAGGGUGACCGGCCACACUGGGACUGAGACACGGCCCAGACUCCGUACGGGAGGCAGCAGGUGGGGAAUAUUGCGCAAUGGGCGGAAGCCUGACGCAGCGACGCCGC
rnacentral:rRNA from 1 species